rnacentral:rRNA from 1 species
UACGUAGGGUGCAAGCGUUGUCCGGAAUUAUUGGGCGUAAAGAGCUUGUAGGCGGUUUGUCGCGUCUGCUGUGAAAUUUCGGGGCUCAACCCCCGAACUUGCAGUGGGGUACGGGCAGACUAGAGUGUGGUAGGGGGAGACUGGAAUUCCUGGUGUAGCGGUGAAAUGCGCAGAUAUCAGGAGGAACACCGAUGGCGAAGGCAGGUCUCUGGGCCACUACUGACGCUGAGAAGCGAAAGCAUGGGGAGCGAACAGG